CCUUGGGGCGGGAUCACAGCUGGUGCAUGGUUGUCGUCAGCUCGUGUCGUGAGAUGUUGGGUUAAGUCCCGCAACGAGCGCAACCCUCUUUCCAUGUUGCCAGCACGUAAUGGUGGGGACUCAUGGGAGACUGCCGGGGUCAACUCGGAGGAAGGUGGGGACGACGUCAAAUCAUCAUGCCCCUUAUGUCUUGGGCUUCACGCAUGCUACAAUGGCCGGUACAAUGGGUUGCGAUACUCUGAGGUGGAGCUAAUGCCAACAAGCCGGUCUCAGUUCGGAUUGGGAUCUGCAACUCGACACCACGAACU
rnacentral:rRNA from 1 species